rnacentral:rRNA from 1 species
AGCGAACGUUAGCGGCGGGCUUAACACAUGCAAGUCGCACGAGAACGAGGGGGCGAACUCCUCUAGUAAAGUGGCGCACGGGUGCGUAACACGUAGGUGAACUACCCUCCGAUGGGGGACAACCGGCCGAAGGGACUGGCUAAUACCGCGUAAGUCAACGGGGCAUUCGGGCUCUGUUGGGAAAGCGGCCCUCUUCACGAAAGGUCGCGUCGGAGGUUGUGCCUGCGGCCCAUCAGCUAGUUGGUGAGGAAUGGCUCACCAAGGCUAAGACGGGUAGCUGGUCUGAGNGGAUGAUCAGCCACACUGGAACUGAGACACGGUCCAGACUCCUACGGGAGGCAGCAGUAGGGGAAUAUUGGACAAUGGGCGCAAGCCUGAUCCAGCCA